rnacentral:rRNA from 1 species
GAUGAACGCUGGCGGCGUGCCUAAUACAUGCAAGUCGAGCGAACAGAUAAGGAGCUUGCUCCUUUGACGUUAGCGGCGGACGGGUGAGUAACACGUGGGUAACCUACCUAUAAGACUGGGAUAACUUCGGGAAACCGGAGCUAAUACCGGAUAACAUUUGGAACCGCAUGGUUCUAAAGUGAAAGAUGGUUUUGCUAUCACUUAUAGAUGGACCCGCGCCGUAUUAGCUAGUUGGUAAGGUAACGGCUUACCAAGGCGACGAUACGUAGCCGACCUGAGAGGGUGAUCGGCCACACUGGAACUGAGACACGGUCCAGACUCCUACGGGAGGCAGCAGUAGGGAAUCUUCCGCAAUGGGCGAAAGCCUGACGGAGCAACGCCGCGUGAGUGAUGAAGGGUUUCGGCUCGUAAAACUCUGUUAUUAGGGAAGAACAAAUGUGUAAGUAACUGUGCACGUCCUGACGGUACCUAAUCAGAAAGCCACGGCUAACUACGU